AACGAACGCUGGCGGCAUGCCUAACACAUGCAAGUCGAACGAGACCUUCGGGUCUAGUGGCGCACGGGUGCGUAACGCGUGGGAACCUGCCCUUAGGUUCGGAAUAACUCCCCGAAAGGGGUGCUAAUACCGGAUAAUGUCUUCGGACCAAAGAUUUAUCGCCUUUGGAUGGGCCCGCGUUGGAUUAGCUAGUUGGUAGGGUAAAAGCCUACCAAGGCGACGAUCCAUAGCUGGUCUGAGAGGAUGAUCAGCCACACUGGGACUGAGACACGGCCCAGACUACUACGGGAGGCGGGAGUGGGGGAUAUUGGAAAAUGGGCGAAAGCAUGAUCCAGCAAUGCCGCGUGAGUGAUGAAGGCGUUAGAGUUGUAAAGCUCUUUUACCCGGGAUGAUAAUGACGGUACCGGGAGAAUAAGCACCGGCUAACUCCGUG
rnacentral:rRNA from 1 species